AUGAAGGAUCUAGGAGUAGCUGAUGUUAUCUUAAACAUCAAGCUGUUGAGAGAUGAGAAUGGUGGGAUCACACUGCUUCAGUCUCACUAUGUGGAAAAGGUCUUGCUUCGUUUUGGGUAUAGCGACUGCACACCUUCUCCAACUCCAUAUGAUGCUAGCGUGUUGCAUCGAAAGAAUCGAUGGAUUGCUAGAGAUCAACUAAGGUAUUCUCAUAUUACUGGCUCGCUUAUGUAUUUGGCGAGUGCCACGAGGCCUAACAUCUCGUUUGCUGUUAGCAAGCUGAGUCGGUUUGUGUCAAAACCGGGAGAUGAUCAUUGGCAUGCGCUUGAGAGAGUUAUGCGCUAUUUGAAAGGCACCGCGAGCUAUGGGAUUCACUACACCGGGUAUCCAAGGGUACUGGAGGGUUAUAGUGACUCAAACUGGAUAUCUGAUGCUAAUGAGAUUAAGGCCACAAGUGGUUAUGUUUUUACACUUGGUGGUGGCGCUGUUUCUUGGAAGUCCUGCAAGCAGACCAUCUUAACGAGGUCAACUAUGGAAGCAGAACUCACAUCAUUAGAAACUGCCACUGUUAUAGAAGAGUGGCUUCGUGAGCUCUUGAUGGACUUACCUAUGGUUGAAAAACCAAUACCCCCUAUCCCGAUGAACUGUGAUAAUCAAACUGUGAUCGUCAAGAUAAACAGUUCUAAGGACAAUAUGAAGUCCUCAAGGCAUGUGAAGAGGAGACUGAAAUCUGUCAGAAAAUUGAGGAACUCCGGAGUUAUUAUGUUGGAUUAUAUCCAAACGUCAAAAAAAUUAGCAGAUCCCUUCACAAAGGGUCUAUCACGUAAUGUGAUAGAUAAUGCAUCGAUGGAGAUGGGUCUGAGACCCACCGCAUGA
rnacentral:rRNA from 1 species